rnacentral:lncRNA from 1 species
AUUGAAAACAGUAAAUACGUAGAUAAGUUGAGUGAUACAAUUAACUUGCUUGAUUUAAUAGAUAAUUGUGAAAUUAUGUAGCAACAUACAUAGCACAUGUAUUUUUCUCAUAUACUCAUGUGAAUUACUUGACAUACAGUUGGCCACAAGAAUACCUUGGCAAUUUCCCCCAAAAUAGCUGUUUUAUACAUUGGGUUCUUUGACUAGAAUUUAAUAAAUCUAAAUCUAAACCAACAGAUGACCUACCUCACCCCUUUAUCAACUGCUUAUAUUUGCAGGAAAGUGACAGUAAAGGCUAGUUACCAAGAGAAAUUGAAGGAGGAGUACCAUGACAUUAGGUCCUUGUCUCUGGUCUUCCCCCAUGUCAGGAGUACUGCCAUUCCUAUGGUUUGGCUCUGAGUCAACAAUUUCUCUUACUGGGCUUAGGCUAGUUUGCCUUCCUUUCUGUUUCAUAGCAAAAGGAGCUGAUUAACACAGGGUUCUCUCUUUUUCUCUCCCUCUGUCUCUGUCUCUCACUACAUAUACAUGCGGACAUGUAUAUUGAAUUCAUACAAAUACCUUCAAUUACAUCAAGUUGAAUUGCAAAGCCCCUAAUUUACUGCAGAUAUGCUUAGAUUGAUAUUUCUAUGCACAAGACUUGACAAGUAAAAUUUUUUCUCAUGAAUCCUUCUCUCUCCUAAAGUAAUAUAAUUUAAGGAACAGAUCUCCUGAACACAGGAUAUACAUAGGAACCCAUGGAAUUUUCAUCUCUCUAAGUUCUUUUACUGAACAGAGACCACACCAUUAAAGAGGAACAUUUUGAGUUCUCUAGGUUAGCAUAUUAAAAAGGUGAAAUUUACAUUAAAAACUUUUUAGUUUUACCUUACCAAAUUAAGGAUCCUUAUUUCCUUUAUGUCAAAGCAGAUAAUCACGAAGACCUGACAUCUAUGGGGGUCUGAUCCAAGCAGGGCUGUGGUCAUUGCUCCCUGGACACUGCAUUGCAUAUGAGAUAGAGGGUCUGCUAAGCCAGCUGCUGAAGGAAGACUUUAUUUCCCAGGGGAAAUUCUAGCACAUCUGGGGCACUGUGGUCCUCACACUUGGUUUGGAUUCUCUUCCUGAUGACGGACGUCUGCUUUCUGGCAAGGGUCUUCAUGUUAUUUGAGAGUUGCUGAAAACCAUGCUGCUCUUUCCUUGAUGGUUUGGUAGUGAGCAUGGAUGAGCACAGCCUGCUGAACCCUGAGUUCUAAUCUUACGCCUGUAGCUAAGGAAUUGGGGAUGAUUUGGACAAGUCAGUCAAUCUUCUUUGUCUCCAGCUGCUCAAGUGUCAACUGUGGAUAAUAUGACCUGUCUCAAAACCAUGUCAUGCGAUGAAGACGCCAAGGCAAUGACACCUGACAGUCAUAUAGCUGAUAAGGAACAGCGCCAGGACCCAGAGCCAGGCAGUGUGACUGAGCAAGAGUCUGUGCUUUUAACGACUAGGUUUUGCUAGCCCAAAGCACAUACUUGAUACACGUUGCUGAGAAGCAUGAGGCACUACAAUUGGACUUGAUGAAGGGAAAUAAAUAUCAUACAGAGAGUUGUUCAGGACAUUGCGAGAAUCAUGCCACUGAAUGCUGGUGGGGCAGCCUCUGACUGGGGAGGGGUGACCACAGAUGGGAGAGAUACAUUAUGGUAUCUCAAAGGUGAAAAACAAUGUGCAGAUGCUUAUUUGGCAAAAAAAAAAAAAGUAGUGCUAUAUGGCUUCCAUUGUCAUCCUUUGAAAUUUUAA